GCUGUAAUCUCAUGUCGGUAGAGCAUGAGACUCUUGAUCUCAGGGUUGUGGGUUUGAGACCCACGUUGGGCA